rnacentral:misc_RNA from 1 species
GAUGAAGAACGCAGCGAAAUGCGAUAAGUAAUGUGAAUUGCAGAAUUCAGUGAAUCAUCGAAUCUUUGAACGCACAUUGCGCCCCUUGGUAUUCCAUGGGGCAUGCCUGUUCGAGCGUCAUUUGUACCUUCAAGCUCUGCUUGGUGUUGGGUGUUUGUCUCGCCUCUGCGUGUAGACUCGCCUCAAAACAAUUGGCAGCCGGCGUAUUGAUUUCGGAGCGCAGUACAUCUCGCGCUUUGCACUCAUAACGACGACGUCCAAAAGUACAUUUCUACACUCUUGACCUCGGAUCAGGUAGGGAUACCCGCUGAACUUAAGCAUAUCAAUAAGCGGAGGA